rnacentral:rRNA from 1 species
UGGCAGACGGGUGAGUAACGCGUGGGAAGCUACCUUGUGGUAGGGGACAACAGUUGGAAACGACUGCUAAUACCCUAUGAGCCCUAUGGGGGAAAGAUUUAUCGCCAUGAGAUGUGCCCGCGUUAGAUUAGCUAGUUGGUAAGGUAAUGGCUUACCAAGGCGACGAUCUAUAGCUGGUCUGAGAGGAUGAUCAGCCACACUGGGACUGAGACACGGCCCAGACUCCUACGGGAGGCAGCAGUGGGGAAUAUUGGACAAUGGGGGCAACCCUGAUCCAGCCAUGCCGCGUGUGUGAUGACGGCCUUAGGGUUGUAAAGCACUUUCAGCAGUGAAGAUAAUGACAUUAACUGCAGAAGAAGCCCCGGCUAACUUCGUGCCAGCAGCCGCGGUAAUACGAAGGGGGCUAGCGUUGUUCGGAAUCACUGGGCGUAAAGAGUACGUAGGCGGACUGAUAAGUUAGGGGUGAAAUCCCAAGGCUCAACCUUGGAACUGCCUUUGAUACUGUCAGUCUUGAGAUCGAGAGAGGUGAGUGGAACUCCGAGUGUAGAGGUGAGAUUCGUAGAUAUUCGGAAGAACACCAGUGGCGAAGGCGGCUCACUGGCUCGAUACUGACGCUGAGGUACGAAAGCGUGGGGAGCAGACAGGAUUAGAUACCCUGGUAGUCCACGCCGUACACGAUGAAUGCUAGUUGUC